rnacentral:rRNA from 1 species
UAGUCAGUGGUUGUAGACGCGAAACCUUGCGAUCUACCCUUGAGCAGGUUGAAGGUUGGGUAAAACCAACUGGAGGACCGAACGAAUAAGCGUUGAAAAGCUUCUCGAUGACUUGAGGGUAGGGGUGAAAGGCUAAUCAAGCUGGGAAAUAGCUCGUACUCCCCGAAAUGCCUUUAGGGGCAGCGUUGUAAUUAAGAGUCUACUGGAGGUAGAGCUACUGAUUGGAUGCGGGGGCUUCACCGCCUACCAAAUCCUGACAAACUCCGAAUGCCAGUAGUAUGAUUUACAGCAGUGAGCGACCGGGUGCUAAUGUCCGGUUACGAGAGUGGAACAACACAGACCAGCAACUAAGGUCCCCAAGAGUAUACUAAGUUGAUCUAACGAUGUUUUGCUGCAGAGACAGCUAGGAUGUUAGCUUGGAAGCAGCUAUUCAUUCAAAGAGUGCGUAACAGCUCACUAGUCGAGCGGCAAAGCGUGGAUAAUAAACGGGCAUCAAGUAUACCACCGAAGUUCUGGGCACGAAAGUGCGGUAGGGGAGCAUUCCAUUCCGCGUUGAAGCCGAACCGUGAGGUUUGGUGGAGUGUAUGGAAAAGCAAAUGUAGGCAUGAGUAACGAUAAUGCGGGAGAGUAACCCGCACACCGCAAGACCAAGGUUUCCUGAUCAACGCUAAUCGGAUCAGGGUUAGUCGGGUCCUAAGGGUAAGCCGAACGGUGAUCUCGAUGGAUAAUCGGUUAAUAUUCCGAUACUGACAUAUACCUCGAUGGAGAGACGAAGGAACGUAAGUGCCGCCACCUGACGGAAUAGGUGGUUAAAGGGCUUAGGUAUAGGGGCAGAUUAAGAGUUAGUCCUUGCUGAAACCUGACAGUACAGAGAGCCUACGGGCAAUUUGAUAGUGCACCCAAGUCGACUUCCGAGAAAAUCUUCUAAGUUAUAGUAUAUGUCACCCGUACCGUAAACCGACACAGGUGGUCGAGGAGAGUAUCCUAAGGUGCUCGAGUGAAUCACGGUUAAGGAACUAGGCAAAUUAACCCCGUAACUUCGGGAAAAGGGGUCCCAUCGCGAGGUGGGCGCAGCGAAGAGGUCCAGGCGACUGUUUAUCAAAAACACAGGGCUCUGCAAAUUCGAAAGAAGACGUAUAGGGCCUGACACCUGCCCGGUGCUGGAAGGUUAAGAGGGGAUGUCAUCGCAAGAGAAGCAUUGAAUCGAAGCCCCAGUAAACGGCGGCCGUAACUAUAACGGUCCUAAGGUAGCGAAAUUCCUUGUCGGGUAAGUUCCGAC